GCGUCGAUCAUCGUCGAAGGGCUCUGCUUCGACUCCUUCUUGACUUUUCCUCUGACUCUCCUUCAAUUUGCGGUCUUCUCUCAUCUCUCACUCUUUCUCAUGCUUUCCUUCUGUACUGAAGAAGCCUUCCAUCUAUUUCGAUCUCUCCCACAAACCCUUAUGUUGCCAAAGCUUGCCUUCCCUCGCUCUCCGAUCUCGACUUCCCUCUCUCACUUUCCUAAUGAAAAAGACCAACCCAGUAGAAAUUUCUCCAGUUCUUUCUUCAAAAACUACAAAUCACAACAACCAAACUCCAAAAAAAAAAAAAAAAAAAAAAUCUAAUUCGAAAAGCCAUUUGCUUUUCCUUGGAUUUGGGUUUUCCUUCGAUUCCUACACUAUCCAAACCUUUGCCUUGGGGCGUGGAUCAAGUUAGGGUUUUCUCUGAUGCUUUGCAUGUGCUACAUGUGUGAAAAUGCCUUGCCUCUUCAGAUCAGUCUACAUCCCUGCUUCUAUCACUCUCGAACCUAAAUUUCUUUCCCUCUCAAACGCCACCCUUCUCCCUCUCCAACCUUGCGAUCUUUGUCUCACAAAUUACCAACCGCACUUUCUUGCUGAAAAACCACCCAAUCUGUAGUAGCUUCUUUGGUUCUUUAGUUGGAUGCGGGGAAAUUUUGUACCCAAGCGUUUCCUAGGGACCCUGGAUUUUCUUUUUCUUUUUUGGGCUUUUGUAAUUCAAGGUGAGCAAUUUCAGCUUCUCUCUUUGGGGCUAUUGUGGAACCAAAUUUUAAUUUUUAUGAUUGUGAAAGUUGAGUACGACACUUUGUUUAGUUUCCAUUUAGUACAUUAAUGCAUAACUUUGUUUUUCUCUCCUCCUUAAAUUCAUAUAUGGAAAUAGGAAGUUUAAGGAUCUUUGUUCUUGCUAAUAGGUUUAAUAAUAAUGACGUUUGGAUGAUCUUUGUUUCCAGGAAACUGAUUUUAAAGAAUGGUAGCUGGUGAUUCAGGAAAUAGUUAGAUUUUUUAAAGCUGACACAUGUUUUAUGAAUAUCAGGCUUUAAGAUACAAUACUGUUCUAGGCUGUCAUCCAGAUUCCCAACUACACGUUUCCAUGACAGUUUCAAAUAGGUCCUUGAGAUGAUCAGAUGCUAUACUGAGCAGCCACCAUCAUAAUAAUUUAUAAGGUAAAAGCGAGCGUUGUUCUCUUGGUCACUAGAUGCCUCGAGAAUUUAUAGUCACUCACCCAACUUGGGGUUUGAGUAAUCAUGAAUAAGUUGAUUUCGUGUUACCAUAUGUUGUGCUAGUGAGAAGACUUUGAGAUGGGAUGGAGGACUAGAGAUAGACGUUUGGAUUUGAGAAAGACAAUUGGUAUUGAAAAUUGAGAUACCAUAUAGUGUAUACCAUGGCAUGGUCGGUUCCAGCUUUUUCUCUUCCUUGGUAUGCGUUAUUUCUCCCUCUCUCUUAAUUUUUUUUUCGUUUAAUUUAUUUCUGCAAUUUG